GAACAAAGCAGUAAACUCCGGUGUCCGCAUAGCACUCCGUGCGCGAUCCCAUCUCCUCCAAUCGGAGAGGACCAACACUUGAAUGACUCCAUUGCUGCACACAUCUGCCCUUUGUUCUUCUCCUCCUCCUGUCUCAACGCUGACCGCUGACCCUAUCGCUUACUCCUUUGUUGCGUCUUUUCUUGGCAGAGUAGAGCGGCUUCUUCUCCGCUGGACCGGCAGCAACUGCUUAGGAGACAGCGGGAAGAUGGCCACGGCGGAGCCGAUCAUGAACGCCUCGCUCGUCCCGGACUCCGAGCUCAUUUCUCGGGCCGUCCAGGCCGCCUAUGGGACCAUCCGCGCCGCCCGUGACGUCCUCGUCGAGCGCCACAGCUUUGCCGAGCUGGCCGCCUACCUGGACCGCGUCGUCCCCAUCCUCGACCAGCUGAAGCCCACGACGCCCGCCGCGAACCGUGACGGCAGUUCCCCCCUCGCCGACGCCGCUGGGAUCCUCGCCCGCGAGGUCGAGGCCGCCCGGGUUCUCGCCCUCGAUUGCGGCAAGCGCAACCGCAUCUAUCUCCUCCUCAACUGCCGCCGCAUCGUCAACCGCCUUGAGUCCGCCACCAGGGAGAUCGGCCGCGCCAUUAACCUCCUCCCCCUCGCUUCCCUCGAUCUCUCCUCCGCGAUCCGCGACGAGGCCAAACUUCUCAGCGAUUCCAUGGUCCGGGCCGAGUUCCGGGCCGCCGCCGCCGAGGAGGAAACCCUGCGAAAGUUGGAGUCGGCCAUCCAGGAGCACAACUCCGACCGGUCCUACGCGAACAGCCUGCUGGCCCUCAUCGCGGACGCCGUGGGGAUCUCCAAGGACCGUACCGUUCUCAAGAAGGAGUUCGCGGAGUUCAAGGAGGAGGUAGCGGAGGCCAAGCUGCGGAAGGACCUCGCGGAGGCGAUUCAGAUGGAUCAGAUCAUUGCCCUGCUCUCUAGGGCGGACGCCACCUCGUCAUUCAAGGAGAAGGAGGCGAAGUAUUACAGCAAGAGGAACUCGUUGGGGAGCCAGCCAUUGGAGCCCCUCCAGUCCUUCUACUGCCCCAUCACCCGUGACGUGAUGGAGGAUCCCGUGGAGACUUCUUCUGGGCAGACCUUCGAGAGGAGCGCGAUUGAGAGGUGGUUCGCGGACGGCAACACCACUUGUCCGCUCACCAUGACACCUCUCAACACCGGCUUCCUUCGGCAUAACAUCACUCUUAGGAAGUCCAUCGAGGAGUGGAAGGAGAGGAACAACAUCAUAAUUAUCUCUUCGAUGAAGUCCAAGCUCAGUUUGGACGACGAGGUGGUGCUCAGGAGCUUGGCCCAGCUGCAGGAGCUCUGUGAGGAGAAAUUUUCGAAUAGGGAGUGUGUGGUGAUGGAGGAUUACUUGCCAAUUCUUGUCGGAUUGCUUGGAAGGAAUAACUCACAGAUAAGGAAUCACACACUCUAUAUUCUUCGAUUAUUGGUGGAAGAUAGCGAUGAUAACAGGGAAAAAAUAGCUGAAGUGGACAAUGCCAUUCAAUCCAUUGUGAAAUCUCUUGCACGGCGCACCGAUGAACGUAAAGCAGCAGUAGCGUUGCUGUUGGAGCUAUCAAAAAAUAAUGCAAUUUGCGGCCAUAUUGGAAAGGUACAAGGCUGCAUUCUUCUACUAGUGACAAUUAUAAACAGUGAUAACAACCAAGCUGCUGAUGAUGCUAGAGAGCUUUUGGAGAAUCUUUCUUUUCUAGAUGACAAUGUAGUGCUGAUGGCAAAGGCUAACUAUUUUCAGCCACUGCUCCGGUGUCUUGACUCAGGUCCAGAGUAUUUGAAAAUGAAAAUGGUAAAAGCAUUAGCUGAAAUGGAAUUAACUGAUCAUAGCAAGGAGACCUUGUUUAAAGAGGGAGCAUUGCAGCCACUUCUUCAGAUGCUCUCAUUAAGUGAUGCAGAUGGAAAAAGAAUGGCCAUUAAGGCUAUUCAGAAACUCUCCAGCUUUGGUCCUAAUGGUUUACAGAUCAUCAGGGACGGAGCAAUUUCACCACUUCUUGACCUACUAUUCCAGGCAAUACCAGCAUCUUCCAAUCUAAGAGACCAAGUUGCAGCUACUAUUUUGAAUAUCACUGUAUCAGCCGCUGCCUUGCAAACCAAUGAAGCCCUGAGUAUUCUGAAAUCAGAUGCUGAAAUUUCUCGGCUCUUUUCCUUGGUGAUGCUGACUGGGCCAACUAUACAACAAAGCAUUCUAGGAACAUUUUAUGCGCUGUGUCAGCUUCCAUCAGCGAAGGACAUGAGAACUAAGUUGAGGCAGUUUUCUGCAGUCCAAUUAUUAAUUUCACAAUGUGAGCACAGAGAUCUUUCUGUAAGAGCAAGUGCUGUUAAACUGCUAUCUUGCCUCAUGGAAGAUGGAGAUGAUAAUGUGUCAGUUGAAAGUGUUACUCAAAGGUGUCUGGAGACUUUGCUUUCCAUUAUCAAAACCUCUAAGGAUGAGGAAGAGGUAGCUGCUGCAUUGAGAAUCAUUUCUGAUCUUCCUAUAGGGUACACCCAUGUAACUCGAUGGAUUGCAGAUGCUGGAGCAAUAACAGUAUUUGUCAGUUAUAUUAGAGAUGCAAAGCUUAUUGGGCCCUUCAGGAAUAAGUUAAUAGAGAAUGCUCUUCGAGUUUUGUGCCGUUUCACAAUGUCAACAAAUCCAGAAUGCCAGAAAAUAGCCGCUAAGUCUGGAUUGAUCCCCUUGCUUGUCCAGUUGUUGGGAUCUGGCACUCCAGCUGCAAAACGAUAUGCAGCUACUUUGCUAUGUCAGUUUUCAGAGAGUUCACUCAGCCUGAGCAGGCUGGUAGAGCGACAUGGAGGUUUGUGGUGCUUUGCACCCCCACCUGAAAUACGAUGCCCAGUGCACAAUGGUGUUUGUUCAGCGGAGACAUCAUAUUGUCUUUUGGAAGCAGAUGCCAUAGGACCACUUCUGAGUUUGCUUGGAGACUCAGAUUCCAGCAUUUGUGAUGCCGCUCUAAGUGCACUCUCAACACUCAUAGAGGGCGAAAGGCUGCAAAGUGGCAGCAAGGUACUUCAUGAGUCAAAUGGCAUUGCACCCAUUGUAAAAGUUCUGAGCUCUCGGUCAACUGAGUUGCAAGAGAAGGCACUUAACGUUUUAGAGAGGAUUUUUCGACUGCAAGAGUAUAAGCGGAUCUAUGGUGCUUUAGCACAGAUGCCUUUGGUUGACAUAACUCAAAGAAGCAACGGUCCUGUUCGAGCUUUGGCAGCUAGAAUACUUGCUCAUUUGGAUGUGCUUCAUGAUCAAUCUUCCUAUUUCUAAGAGGCAGUUAUUUAGAUGCCAGGAUAAAGCUCAGUUCCAACUGAGUGGUAUAUCCACAAGUUCAGUUCAACAUUCCAUGCUUCAUUCGGGUCACAUGAUAACUUGGAAAGGGAUGAAUGUGGUUUGUAUCACGUUAAAGCCAUCUGGAGGACUUGGUGAGACAAUUCUCAUUGAGCACACCGAAACAAGAAAGCUAGCCAGUGCGUGCUGCUAUCACACACAUCAAUGCUGUUUUUAUGUGGAAAAGAAAGAAAACCAAGGUCACCCUGACAAAACUUUCAGCAUGAUAGCUCACAUUUGUCGCACAAUCUAACCGCUUAGAGCUUUUGACAUGGUUGAAGAAAGAUAUUGGGUAGCACGGUGUUUCUCAACUUGGCGACUGUUAAAGCUAUCGGUUAUUUCUUUAGGAAGGAACCAGAAGUUUUAUGUACAAUGUUGCACAUGCAAUCCACAUUUCAGACAUGCUCAUACACCCCCAACCGUAGCGCAGCUGAGACCAAAGAAGAAUUAUGAGUACCCAAUUCAAGAAGUACGGAGAGUGCACAUUCCUUGUUCUUGGGGGUGCCUUCUUUUAUCAGCUGCACGACGGUUUCAAUGAAAGGAAGCUGCCCUAUGGCAGUGUGGCCAUCAGGAUGUGAUGCCAGAAGAAGGAAGAUUGAGAGGGCUUCAUCCACCAUGCCAAGGUUCUUGUCACACAGUACAUUAAGCAGAGGAGCCACUAUUCCUGCAUCAAUAGCUCUAGCCUUGUUCCCAUAGUUCAGAACCAGAUUAAAGAGUGCAGUGGCAGCAUCCUUCUUCCCCCUAAUGGUCCCAUCCCGCAGAAGAUCCACCAAUGGAGGAAUGCCAUUCAUGUUCCCUAUCAUCACCUUGUUCUCUUCAAGCAUUGACAAACUGAACAAGGCUGUGGCCGAGUUCUCUUUAGCCUCAACCGUGCCGCUUUUCAAGAUUUCAAUUAUAGCAGGAAUUGCUCCUUCUUUGGCUAUGAUUCUUUUGUUCCUCUCAUCGAUCGACAAGUUCAACAGAGCUGUGACAGUCUGUUCUUGGAUCUUCGAAUCGGGAUAAGGUAUCAGGCCGACCAGAGCAGGUAUUCCACCAUGCUUAGCGAUCAAAAUCCUGUUAUCGGGAUUCUCCUUGGAGAGCAUGCGGAUCUUCUUCACUGCCUUCCGCUGCACAUCAAGAUGAAUGGAGGACAAAUCUCUCACCAAUGAAGGGAUCUCUUCCUUUUGCUCUAAAUGAUCAGAGUCCUGGUCUGCAUCUCUUUUCAACAGCUCAACUUGGUUCUUCUCACACCACUGCAUGAUCAAGUUACGAAGAGCAUAGUUUGGAGCUAAAGAGAGGUGAGCCAAAGUUUGUCUAGUCUUUGGGCAAUUUCGAUGACCUGCAUCCAGCCACUUCUGUAUGCUUCUUCGUUCAUAUGUCUGUGAGAACGGAGGAAAGAGCAGUUAGCAAAGAUUACCUUAUCACAAGACUCAAAAACAACAUAAUUGGAGCAACUUAAAGCACCUGUCCUGUUGCAACAAUGACAGGAUCCGACAUGAUCUCCAGAGAUACAGGACAGAGGAAGUCAUUUGGAAUCAUCAACGAUGGACACUUCUCGAGGUAUUUAGGCAAGGUGACGUCGCUUAACCCUUUAGAAUCUUCGACUCCUGCAACUCGUUUAAAUUUAUUGAGCAGAUCCAUGAUCUGCUGUGUACUGUCUGCAUUUGCCCCACAUCUUUCUUUGAUGAGCUUUUUGAUGGCCAUUGUUUCAGCUCUUAAAUCUGGUAGAGUUUGCAA